rnacentral:tRNA from 1 species
GCUUCCUUGGUGUAGUUGGUUAUCACGUCGGUCUCAUACCAAGACCAUGACUGCUACUAAGUAGCGGGACAUCCGAAGGUCGCCAGUUCGAGUCUGGCAGGGAGCA